GCUGCUGGCCCGCUCUCUGAGGAGCUUUCAAUACUUUGGGGUCAAGUUUGAGGCAGUUGUAACUGUACUGAGUUUAGUUUUGCUAAUAAUGGUAUUCUACGUGUGUCAGCCUCGUGUGGACUUCUGUAAUGACUAAUGGAUAUGUUUAUAUCCUGAGCAUUUGCUGUAGGAAUUUUAAAUGCAAUCCCAAAACUCAAGAUUACCUUAUUUGGAGAAAUAUUCGUGUUACUAUGUUUAAAAUUUAAUAGAACCAUAUUUUACCUUUCACUUUGGGACUCGCACAGGAUGUUUGCAGCUCUUGAUAUACAGGAACUAGAACGUGUCUUUUAAGAGCAUGCGGUUUUAUAAUUACGUGGAAGUAUGCUACGCAAGGGAAAAAAGCCUCUUGCUAGUGUUAAGGGUCUUCAUAAACAGAAACCGCAAGGAACCUGGGAUCUGACAGCUGUUGGAGGAAUGCCUGUGAGGAAGGAGGAGGAACAGAAGAAUGCUUUGAUGUCUUAAAUGGUACAUCCAAACUUAAGUGAAAUAGAGCUGUGAGGACAUUUUGGGGAGAAGUGACCUAGAUAAGCACUGACUGUUGCAUUCAUCUCUCUUCUUGCUGAUUGUGAUGAUUUCCUGUGCCAUAGCCAUUCAAAGUCUGCCAAAAAAGGUGUGACCUAGUAUAUUCCCAGCUGUGGUGGCCACGCAGAGAGACUCCUGCUUGAGGAAAGGAGAGGGAAGAGUAAAGACGAGUUUGUCUUGCAUCUUGGGUAUCAGCUAGCAUGUAAUUUUCUUUCUCUACUUCUCUACAUUUGGAGGAUGGAAAUGUAGAUGUUCUUCCAUUGUGCCAGCCUCCUCAUUCUUCUUUCUCCAAUGCCGCAUCUUCCUGCAAACUUCCUGCCACAACUCAAACAACAGGAAAAUAAAUGAUCUGAAAUCCUCCUGAACUGCAGCCUACCUAUCGUGGUCUCUAUGGGUGCAAACUUCCUUCCAGAAGCUUGUUCAGCUGGCUAAAACAGGACAUUUGCCAAUGCAGCCAAAAGUUGGGUCUUAUACUGGCUACCUCCUAUGCAGAGUGAAAAACUUUUCUUUCUCCCACAGCCACAGACAUCGCUCCUCUUCCAGCUCAACAUCUUUCAAAGGGAUGGCUCUCAGUCCCGAAAUGAAAAGAAAAGGUGGCUUGGUGCAAAUCAUUCUCUUUAUCAGCAAAAGAAAUACCAAAGCCUGUGUCCUUCUGACAUAGUGAGCUGUCGAGGUAGUCCAGGGAAAAGAUGACAGUGAAUUGAGUUAUGGGAUGGCAAUGGAGACUGAAAAGAAUCUGUGUUUAUUAUAUGUAUAUAUAUCAUUAAGGUAGAACUAGUGGAUUUUCUCUGGCACUGCACAUGGGAAGCAAGUGAAGGAGAGUGAUCUAGAAUGACGCCACCAUUUUUGCCUGAGAAAUUCAGUACUCAGAGGUGUCUGUCAUUCAGAGAGAUGGAGGAAACAAGAAGAGGAGCAAGUUGGGGGAGAGGGUAAGCAGAAUCAAAAACUGUGUUGAUACAUUAACUUUAGGAUGCAUAGUAGACAUCAGAGUACAGAUGGAGUUUAGGAGCAAAGUUAUAUAGAGAGAUAAAUUUGAGAACCUGUAAUUCUUUUAUUUGUGGCAGAUAAUUAGACAAAUGAUUUCUAAAUAUUCCCAUGACUACUACAGAACAUCAAUAAAUUCCUUAAUAAUACUA
ensembl:lncRNA LYPLAL1-DT LYPLAL1 divergent transcript